rnacentral:rRNA from 1 species
AUUGAACGCUGGCGGCAGGCCUAACACAUGCAAGUCGAGCGGAGCGGCGGACGGGUGAGUAAUGCCUAGGAAUCUGCCUGGUCGUGGGGGAUAACGUCCGGAAACGGGCGCUAAUACCGCAUACUAUCAGAUGAGCCUAGGUCGGAUUAGCUAGUUGGUGGGGUAAAGGCCUACCAAGGCGACGGCCCGUAACUGGUCUGAGGGGAUGAGCAGUCAACCUGGAACUGAGAAACGGUCCAGACUCCUACGGGAGGCAGCAGUGGGGAAUAUUGGACAAUGGGCGAAAGCCUGAUGCAGGCAUGCCGUGUGUUAGAAGAAGGCCUUAGGGUUGUAAAGGACUUUAAGGGUGGAGGCGUUACCGGCAGAAAAAGCAACGGCUAACUUCGUGCCCGCCGCCGCGGUAAUAC